UUCCCACAUCCACCGCAUUGAGGUUGAUUGGAAUGUAAUUUCAUGACCCAUCCGUGAUUAUGAACAGAUUGUUAUGUGGGUAGAUGGUCACCCUGUUGAACUGUGCAGCCAGAGCAAAGAUUUUUUGUUUACCAUCAUCAGAUCUGUUAUGGUUAAAUAGCCUGGAGAAGAUGGUUGUGCCAUCAAUGUUGAACAGGAGCUGAAGGGAAAUUUUGGUUUCAGAAAUACUCUUGAUCAAAUUUAUGCUAUGAGUGUUGUUUUUCAUCCUUAAGCUCAGAAGAAGAUAUGAAAAUACAGAUAUUUUAUGGUUAAUUGGCUUGGUGAAGCUAGCUGCCCCUGCUGAGGAAUCUGAGAUCAACUUUGAACAGGAGAUGAUGAAAUUUUUUGAUUUAGUUGACAUGAAACAUUAUCAAUAGCUGAUUAUUUACUUGGGAGGCCAUUCAGUGGAUACAAUGUUUUUCCAAUUUUGUCAAUAUAGUUUACACAUUGGAAUUUUUAAGACCACUACAAGCGAUGUGUUUCUGAUGUUGUUAAGCACAACGAGGUACAAAAAGUCAAAAACUGCUGCUCUAAAAAGUGAGGUUAUAGCGUUUAUGUCUCCAGCAAGUAAUUGUAUAAUUUGAUUGAGAUUGAGCUACGUCCUUCCAUGAGCGAGGGCAACGUCAGGCAAGAUGGCUUAAACCGGUGCAUGGAAGAUUUAAGCUUAAUUUUGAUGGGAGUAGUCUUGGAAAUCGUGGAAAUGCUGGUGGAGGUGGUUUACUUCGUGAUGGUUCAAGCAACUUCAUUUUUGGCUUUUCAAUUUUUUUGGCAGUUGCUCAAAUAAUGAAGCUGAGUUUAUGCGCUAUUCUUGAAGGCUUACUUGUGUGUAAGCAAUUGGGUUAUGAUGGUAUUGGCAUUGAAUGUGAUUCUAAUAUUGUUGUUAGCUGGAUUCGGUCUCGUUCUUGCAAGCUUUGGUAUCUUUGGGACUUCUAGGGACCACUUAAGGGGUUAUUGGAUGUUAAGGAUUAUUCUAUUCAUCAUAUUUUUAGAGCCAAAAGGAGGCUGAUGCUUUGGCUCGUAGUUGUGCUAGUUAAACCAGCUUCUUAUUUACCAAUGUGGAACAUCUCCCUAGGCUUAUAAAAAGUUUGAUUAGGUUAGAUAAAAUGGGUAUUGUUUAUAUUAAGACUUGUUUAGUUUGUUCUUUUGUGUUUGCUUUAUUGUCUUUUGUUUGUUUUGAUACUUGGGAUAUUGUUUUGUUUUUCUUUGUUUAAGUGUCUAGUUGUUACCACGGUUUUCCUCCGCCAUAAGUGAGGUCUCUCAAUAAAGCUUGGAGGUUCCGCCCUCCUUUUCUAGAAAAA